rnacentral:lncRNA from 1 species
UGAAUUCAUGUUCGAUUGCUUCAGAAUGCUCAGCUCCAAGUUCCAAGCCCUUUCCCGUUGAUGUAUGGGCAGCACUUGUCUUUAUGAGGCCACAGUCUGGCCAGCACACUGCCUUUGCGUUGACUGCAUCGCAUUACCAUGUGCAUAUUAAGUCACCAACUGGCACAGCUCAGCUCAAAGAUGAAAUGUUCUUGCUGCAAGCAAAACCACAAAGCUGCUAUGCAGUCUCCUCACCUGCACCCCAGAGAAAAUCAGAGGUCUUGGAAUUUGAUGUCCCUAGGGCAGAAGUAUGGAAUCUGCUUCCAUCUUCCAAAGCGAGUGUGUUUCUGUUGGGCGGACACCAAGCACGGGCAACUUCAGCCUGAAGCAAUUACCCUGUGCAAGUUUCAGUGAGUGGAAACAGGCGUGGAGUUCUAUGGACCUUGCUACCUGGAUCAAUAACUUUUGCUAGUCAAGUUUCCUGCCAAGGAAAGGAGAGGAGGCUCGAAUUUCAUAGACUGGAAACUGCCUGCACCCAUGUGCGGGA